CGCCUUCCCUUUCACCAGAAAGUUUUCAGUUGUUUCCCUUGUGUCAGUUCAAGCAACCAUGUGGCGAGCCAGAGCAGCUCACAGAUGCAGCUUCAAUGAACUUUCCAUUUUCUUCUUUUUCUCUUCUUUUUCUCUUUUUUUUUUUUUUUUUUUUUUUUUUUUUUUUGGAGAUGGCCUUCACAUGGGUCCGUGAGUCACUGCUCUCCUGCGGCAGCAGGGCUGGUGGAGAGGUGCAGUGGGAGCAGGCAGCCGGGGUGGAGAAGCGAGAGGAGGACUGCCCCUUCCAGCCAUGGUGCAGCUUUAGGAGCAGGGUUACCAACAAGCAGAUUAUUUGCAGUUAAGAGAAAUCAAAGCACUCCAGAUGCAACAUCCCAGCCACCAACAGCACACCCUGCAUCCGGAAAUGCUCUGGCCUGGCUGAGCUCCUGACAACAGACUCCAGUCCUGGAACUACAUAUCCUUGAGAAUAAAUCUUAUUUUCCUGACUGCAAGCUUCUUUAAGAAAUGAUAUUUGAUAUUAUUCUUGCCUUCCUGUAUAAUACACCAUAUUAAUACAAACCGUGUGUUAAGCCUC